rnacentral:rRNA from 1 species
GAUGAACGCUGGCGGCGUGCUUAACACAUGCAAGUCGAACGAUGAAGCCCAGCUUGCUGGGUGGAUUAGUGGCGAACGGGUGAGUAACACGUGAGUAACCUGCCCUUAACUCUGGGAUAAGCCUGGGAAACUGGGUCUAAUACCGGAUAGGAGCGUCCACCGCAUGGUGGGUGUUGGAAAGAUUUAUCGGUUUUGGAUGGACUCGCGGCCUAUCAGCUUGUUGGUGAGGGAAUGGCACACCAAGGCGACGACGGGUAGCCGGCCCGGGAGGGUGACCGGCCACACUGGGACUGAGGCACGGCCCAGACUCCUACGGGCGGCAGCAGUGGGGAAUAUUGCACAAUGGGCGCAAGCCUGAUGCAGCGACGCCGCGUGAGGGAUGACGGCCUUCGGGUUGUAAACCUCUUUCAGUAGGGAAGAAGCGAAAGUGACGGUACCUGCAGAAGAAGCACCGGCUAACUACGUG